CUGUGUUGGGAGCCAGUCACGGAGUGUGUUGUGUGGGACUCAGGGAGGGAAUUUAACUCAGGCACGGGAGUGAGGGCAUCAGGGAGGACUUCCUGGAAAAAGUGACAUCUAAGCCGAGUCCUGAGAAAGAGAUCUAUCAUUCUAACUGCAGGCCAGGGGGUGGAGAGGGCCUGGCAUUUUCUGAGAAGAGCCGCAAGUUCAGCAAAGCUGGAGCCGAGUCAAGGAGAUUCCUGAGCUGCAGUUUGAAAAGCACUGACCCGGAGGGAGGCCUCUCAGAAAGCACAGGGAGGCUGCGGCCUUUGUUCCUUCUUACCGUUUGACAGACGACUUUGCUGAGACCAGAGAGCAGGUCCCAGUGUCUCCCAAAUGGGGACCUCACUUAGCUCCCACCCAUCUCUCCGUGAGGCCCUGGUCCUGUUACCUGCUCUGGUCAUUG